UAAAUGUUGCUUCUAAAACAUCACACCCUAUUUGACUUCCUAGGACACUUGUUUUAUCAAUACCAGGCCUUGAUUAGUCUGGUGUAAGCGUCUGUGUCGGACGGGUGUGCUUGAAGCUGCUGGCUCUGUUGGUGUGGACAGGUAUAGGACAGGAAAGGACACGAGAACAGAGGACAUCAUUAUAGAUUGAUCAUGAAGGCGAGUUGCUGUGUUCUGACGUUAGCCCUUCUGGUGUCUUUAACCACCUCCGCUCCAACACAACCUCCGCCACAUUCAGGUUCCAUGCUGCAUCACGACACACCGGCCGUCGGCGCCGCUGACCCUCACUCAGCUGAUAAACAUCUUCCACACGACCCAACCAAAGCAGCUUCUGAAAAUGCGCUCCCGGGGUCUCACGGUGCGAAUAGUGCCACAGAGUCACAGCCAUUCACACCGGGAGCAAGUACUUCUGCUGACGGUGUUGUGUCUUUUGGAAUGGUAUUUACUGUGGAACUUCCGCCAUACAUCAACGUCGGAGGAAAGAAGUAUAGGCUCAGCAUACGCAUGCCCGGAAGUUCUGGUGUAAAAGUGCACUAGUUCUGGUGUAAAGGUGCCCUAGUUUCACACAUGCACGACAUAGCAAGAGGCAGCGACGUUUGGAGGCAGGAAGAUAGGAGGAAGACAUAUCAGUCACUUCACACUCUUUGUAUAUCCGUGUCAGUCCAAUCUUUACCCUUGGUUUCUGAACACAGUACCUCGAACAAACAUUCGAAAAACAUUAUGGUGUAUCAUCCACAUUUGUGUAUAUCACAUCUGAAGAAUAUUUCCGGGUAAAGAAUAUCUGAACUGAAUACUUUAAACUCAGAACGUUUUUUUUCCAGACGAAAACCAAAACUCGGAGAAUUGAAUAACAGGGAAAUUCCUUUAGUAAAAAAAAAAUAGAAUUCCAAAUGAAUCGUUUUACAUCCAACUUUUGAAUUCAUGUAAAUGUUCCAAGAAGUAAUUUACCCGAAAUGGGUUUUUUGUAUUAACAGGAUCCGGAAUACCGAGGGUUCACUUUCAGGUAGCUUCAUGGUAGGGAUCCUCUGCUUGUUCGAAGAGUCUGAUUGGUCAAGCGGCUUUCUGUGAGAAUGUCGUGUUCAUCGCAACUUGGGUAUUGAUUGGAGGAACAAACAUCACAGAUGAUAAUUCUUGGUAGUGGAAUGUGAGAACGGGAAUAUAAGUGUAUUUCAGUCACUGUAUUGUAGUAAGGAACACUGUUCAAAGUAUUUUGCAUGUUUACUUUAAACUCUGUAUCACUUUGGUGUACUAAUUUAAGGACAAUUUAAGGACAUCUUCCAGUACAUAUGUUUUAUAAAACGAAACUACAUGCAUGUGAACAGAAGGAUACAUUGUAAAGAAUAUUUCGAACUGUUUCAGAAGGUUUGUAAAGAUGGUAACAUCUGUGUAUAAAGAAAAUACAGGUGACAUAAUAAAUGGCAACACCAGUAAA